UAGGUUGACCUCGGAUCAGGUAGGAAUACCCGCUGAACUUAAGCAUAUCAAUAAGCCCGGAGGAA
rnacentral:rRNA from 1 species